CAUCAAACUCUCAGCUCGUCAAAAACAAAAACAAAAACAAAAUAUCAGAAGCAGUAAUUGCAUUGCAGCAGUAGCAGGUUUCUGUUUCUUCAAAGAAUAUCAAAUCAAAACCAAAUUAAUUCACCAGAGGAGACCAAGUUUAGAAUGUCAGGGAGACAUCGCAUUUCGCGGGAUGGGCAUAAUGACCGGCGUGGGUACCCGCCUGAGAGACCUUAUAUGCGUGGACCUCCUAUGCCGCAUCCACCUCCACCAUCUCAUCAUCCUGCUAUGUUGGAGGAUGAACUUGAAAUGCGGCAUGUAGAAAUACGCAGGCUACUAGCUGAUAAUCGUCGGUUAGCAGAGGAUCGAAUGGCUUUGCAGCAAGAUCUCGGUGCUGCAAAGGACGAGAUUCAUCGCCUGAAUCUCAUCAUUGGAGAUAUUCGUACGGAACAAGAAAUGCACUCAAGAGAGCUUAUUGAGAAAGGCUUGAAGCUGGAGGCUGAUCUUUGUGCAACUGAGCCUUUGAAGAAUGAAGCUGUACAACUCCGUGCAGAAGUUCAGAAACUGAAUAACAUGAAGCAAGAACUCGUUGGACAAGUACAGACAUUGAAAAAAGAAAAUGCAAGAUUGCAGGCCGAUAAUCAACAGAUUCCUCUAUUUCGAGGUGAAAUUGAUAGCCUGCAUCAGGAACUUAUGCAUGGCAGGGCUGCUAAUGAUUAUGAAAAGAAAGCAAACAUUGAAUUGGUGGAGCAGAGACAGGCAAUGGAGAAGAACAUGGUUUCCAUGGCACGCGAAGUUGAAAAGCUGCGGGCCGAACUCGCUAGUGCUGAUUCUCGACCUUGGGGUGCUGGUGGACCAUAUGGGAUGAAGUUCAAUAAUCCCGAGGGGUUUCCUGCUCCUUUUGGGGAUGGAUACGGGGUUCAUAUGGGUGCUCCAGGUCCUGCUUCAUGGGACAAGGGCCGCGUGCCUCGUCGUUGAGAUGGUUGCAGUUCAAAUUCAUGGAGUGCAAAGAAGAUCCUAUGGCUACCUGCUAUACCGUUUGAUAUCUUGAUAGGCAAGAAGUAAUGUUCAUCUGUGUUUAUGCCCCACCAGUAGUCUUUUAUCUGAAUACAUUAGUUCUCAACUGAUAUGGCCACAGUUUCCAAGAAGGCUGUGAAAGGCGAUAUUAUACUAAUGAUUUAUGGUUGCAUUCUCACCCCGCAAAAGUAGCUUGAAACUGCAUCACCCCAUUGGGACAAUUGUGGAAGGUGCAUGGAAGCCUAUAUGAUAAAAAAGAGCAGGACAUAAGAAUGGCAUCGACAUAAGGUACAAGAUAUAAACAUAGUGGAGGUGCAAUUUACUGAUCAACCCAAUACUCCUCUUAAAGACUUACGUGGUGAAAAUACAAGGAGAAAGUAUAUUGAUAUUUUUCGACCAACAUCAGCUAUCAUGCUAGAAGCUACUUAAAAAAUACGACAACAUGAUACCUGACGUGGCAACACUUUUUCUGAGCAUACUUCAAGUGAUAUCCUCAUUAGUUUAAGUUUAUUGAAAAAUCUAAGAUAUUUAAAACUGAAACAGAAAAAUUAAAGAUAAGGUAUUAAAAUGAUACAACUUAUAGUUUAGGUACCAAUUUGAAAUAUGCCGUAGAGUUCAGGAACUCAUCGCUUAUUUAACCUAGGAUGAAAUUUUGCUAAAGGGAAAAUCAAGUUACAAGGUUUCACUUACUAGGGCCAUUUUGGGAUUGAAAGACCAUCCUGCAAUGUAAAUCAAAUGUUUAGCACCAUCAAUAGCUCUAUAAACAUCUUCCCAUAAAUUUCUUGGAGACCCACAAAUACCAAGUGGAGGCUGAAAUGUGUUAUGAUGGUGAGCAUCCUGAUAAAAUGUGACAUGACAAUUUGAUCUUUGAGGAAAUGUAGCAUUUCUUAGUCCUUGAAAUUGACCAUUA